CUUCUGCACGGAAGUGCCUGAAAUGAUCAGCGAUUUAACGCUGAGGAGAGGAGGUGAAAGAUGUACCCUUUCAUGACCCUAUGUACUGCUUGAAAAGCUGACAGACAAAAUAUACAUCUUGACUUAAGGUAAGGUUAUGACUGUGUCUGCUUUUCUUGUUGCCAUUCCCAGAUGCCAAAGCAUUGAGUCUAAAAGCACACUUCAGAUGAACCUUUGUUAUGAGUGCAAUGGUUUACUUUGCAAUUUAAUCUGACUGAUGAGUUGCAGUGAAAUGAUAUGAAAUACAGAACAGAGGAGGGACAGAACUGAAACCAUCUUUUGUGAGAAACAGGAACAUAUGUGGUAGUUAUCACAGUGUUGGAAUGGGUGUCCAGUAAUAAACUGGUGCUGAACAUAUCUAAAACUUAAAGCGUUGCAUUUGGUACUAAUCAUUCGCUAAGUUUUAGACCUCAGCUAAAUCUGGUAAUGAAUGAUGUGCCUGUUGAGCAAGUUGAGGAGACUAAACUUGUUGGUGUCACCUUAGACUGUAAACUGUUAUGGUCAAGGCAUAUUCAUUUGAUUAUUGUAAAGAUGAGCAGAGGUCUGUCUGUGCUAAAGAGAUGCUCAGCAUUUUUAACACCACAGUCCCUUAAAUUGAAGCGGUGGGAAACAAACAAAAGUGGCCUCUGAUCAAAACAGAUCAAAAAUGAAAUCACUGAUAAUUAUAAGAGAGCAGGAGAACGUAUAAAUUGGCUACAAUAAUAACAAUAACUUUUCAAGCACCAAAUCGAUAACUAUUUUCAAGGUAGGCCUAUUCCAGUAAUUCAUUGCAUUUCUGAGCUCCAAAUUCAAGUUCAAGUAGGCUACUUCAAGUCCCUUAUAUUGUUUAAAAUUGCAUGUGUAACUGUUACAUCUGUUCCUGCAACGCCCUCUACUGCUCAUCCUGUAUCUCCUUGACCUGCCACCACCCCCCCAGUACUCUCUCCCUCUCCCUCUCUCUCUCUCUCUGUGUGUGUGAUUGUGUGGGUGGAGACAGGUGUGCUGGAGUCAGAGCAGAUCCCUACCAGCUGCAACAUGUUCCAUAAUCAAUACCUCUACAAAUACUCAGCCCUGCCACUUCCACGCUGCCAGAUCGUAAUCUCUGCUCAGUCAGUCUACGUUUCUAGCCGUUUGUUACCAUUCAAAUCCUGUUAUCCUGUUGUCUCUGUUUUCCUUGCCUGUCGCUGUUUUCCUCUCUGCUACAGUUCUGCCCGCUCUGACUCUGGUCCCUGUCUCCAGUCCCACGUAUCGUAUUCCUGCUACUCUGUCCUGGAUUCCCCACUUUACUACUCCCUUGGAUUCCCCUCCGGACGUGCUUACUCUGUCUCACCCCCUCUCGCUCCAGCCUCAGCCUCAGCUUCCGCACCUGGUUUGAAGCAACCCGCCCGAGCUUCCCCUGACCUGCACUCCAUCUCCCCCCUGUGUUUCAAUAAAUACCUUGGUUACUUCAUCCCAGUCUCCUCGUCAGAGUCUGCUCUUGGGUUCCACUCCGCGUAACAGUAACAUGGGAAUAAAAAUAUAUUUGUCAUGUUAUUUCAUUACCUGAUCAUAUUGUGAAUAAGCCCACUAGGUUAUGUAAUUUGUUGUCAUUAUAUCCAUAAUAAUUAAUAGGAAUAUCGUUGGAUGUUGCACAAUAGUCUAUCCUAACAGUUGAACACAGUAGACUCAGUGUCCAAUUCGAGACACAAAAACAUGAAAAAAGGAACUUAUUAACUUGAUGCUUUGUCUUUUAAAUCUAAGGAGACCCUGCUGUAAAUCAAGCAGACAACAACAGAUGAUCACCAUUAUAUCCACUGUGGAUCCAGUCACAGCUGUCUUCACUGGCUUAAGGAAUGAGACACCAAAAUAUUGUGGACAUUCCUCUUGAACACCUUUUUUCCAGCACUUGGGCUGUUGUUGCAUGGCAUGCUCUAUCGCCACAGUUGUUUGUCACUUGACCGCCAUUUGGAAAAUUCCUGGAUCAGAUGAUGUGUGAAAAUAUCAAGGUGUAACUAAUCAGCUGGACACCAAAUGUGCAUCCAACAAGUAUUAUGCAUAAUUAUUGAAAAAACACAUUAAUGUCAGUAUCGAUUUAGGUUUUCAGUAUCAAGGUAAAGUGACUCUUUCGGUUAGAAGCAUUACAUUUCGGAAUACAUACAUAAGUUGGGAUUUGGAUGCCCAUGAAAACUGUUUCCACCCCGUGACAGAAGAAGACACGAAAUGUUACAUAAAUACAAUGCAUUUUUGAGAUCUCUAUACAAAAACUGUCCGACAGCUAGAUCCAGGAUUCUUACAAGGUUCAAGUUCAAUGUCUAAUUAAACUGUUUAAUGCUUAAUAUAUAUAACGACAACUUACACUGCCAUAAAUGCACAGAAAAGUACAGAAAAGUAAUGUUUGUGUCACAAGAUUUUGGACAAAUCCAUCAAGACACCCUCCAUAAUAAAGGGUUAAACAUAGGUUUUAAAUCAACUCGUGACGUUUAUUGAAUUAUAGCUAUGAUUCCCGCUCCUUUUAUCUUAACGUAAUGACAUGAAAAAAAUUGCAGAUUGUUAUCAACGACAUCAACAGCUGUAACAAGUACCAAAGGUACCCUUGUUUAACUGUCAGUCAUGUGGGUAACUGUCAGUCAUGUGGGUAACUGUCAGUCAUGUGGGUAACUGUCAGUCAUGUGGGUAACUGUCAGUAAUGUGGGUAACUGUCAGUCAUGUGGGUAACUGUCAGUCAUGUGGGUAACUGUCAGUCAUGUGGGUAACUGUCAGUCAUGUGGGUAACUGUCAGUAAUGUGGGUAACUGUCAGUCAUGUGGGUAACUGUCAGUCAUGUGGGUAACUGUCAGUCAUGUGGGUAACUGUCAGUCAUGUGGGUAACUGUCAGUCAUGUGGGUAACUGUCAGUAAUGUGGGUAACUGUCAGUCAUGUGGGUAACUGUCAGUCAUGUGGGUAACUGUCAGUCAUGUGGGUAACUGUCAGUCAUGUGGGUAACUGUCAGUCAUGUGGGUAACUGUCAGUCAUGUGGGUAACUGUCAGUCAUGUGGGUAACUGUCAGUCAUGUGGGUAACUGUCAGUCAUGUGGGUAACUGUCAGUCAUGUGGGUAACUGUCAGUUGUGGGUAACUGUCAGUCAUGUGGGUAACUGUCAGUCAUGUGGGUAACUGUCAGUUGUGGGUAACUGUCAGUCAUGUGGGUAACUGUCAGUCAUGUGGGUAACUGUCAGUUGUGGGUAACUGUCAGUCAUGUCGGUAACUGUCAGUAAUGUGGGUAACUGUCAGUUGUGGUAACUGUCAGUCAUGUGGGUAACUGUCAGUCAUGUGGGUAACUGUCAGUCAUGUCGGUAACUGUCAGUCAUGUCGGUAACUGUCAGUUGUGUGUAACUGUCAGUCAUGUGGGUAACUGUCAGUCGUGGGUAACUGUCAGUCAUGUGGGUAACUGUCAGCCGUGGGUAACUGUCAGUCAUGUGGGUAACUGUCAGUCAUGUGGGUAACUGUCAGUCAUGUCGGUAACUGUCAGUCAUGUGGGUAACUGUCAGUCAUGUCGGUAACUGUCAGUCAUGUGGGUAACUGUCAGUCAUGUGGGUAACUGCCAGUCAUGUCGGUAACUGUCAGUCAUGUGGGUAACUGUCAGUAAUGUGGGUAACUGUCAGUCAUGUGGGUAACUGUCAGUCAUGUGGGUAACUGUCAGUUGUGGGUAACUGUCAGUCAUGUCGGUAACUGUCAGUAAUGUGGGUAACUGUCAGUUGUGGUAACUGUCAGUCAUGUGGGUAACUGUCAGUCAUGUGGGUAACUGUCAGUCAUGUCGGUAACUGUCAGUCAUGUCGGUAACUGUCAGUUGUGUGUAACUGUCAGUCAUGUGGGUAACUGUCAGUCGUGGGUAACUGUCAGUCAUGUGGGUAACUGUCAGCCGUGGGUAACUGUCAGUCAUGUGGGUAACUGUCAGUCAUGUGGGUAACUGUCAGUCAUGUCGGUAACUGUCAGUCAUGUGGGUAACUGUCAGUCAUGUCGGUAACUGUCAGUCAUGUGGGUAACUGUCAGUCAUGUGGGUAACUGUCAGUCAUGUGGGUAACUGCCAGUCAUGUCGGUAACUGUCAGUAAUGUGGGUAACUGUCAGUAAUGUGGGUAACUGUCAGUCAUGUGGGUAACUGUCAGUAAUGUGGGUAACUGUCCGUAAUGUGGGUAACUGCCCGUCAUGUGGGUAACUGUCAGUCAUGUGGGUAACUGUCAGUCAUGUGGGUAACUGUCAGUUGUGGGUAACUGUCAGUCAUGUGGGUAACUGUCAGUCAUGUGGGUAACUGUCAGUUGUGGGUAACUGUCAGUCAUGUCGGUAACUGUCAGUAAUGUGGGUAACUGUCAGUUGUGGUAACUGUCAGUCAUGUGGGUAACUGUCAGUCAUGUGGGUAACUGUCAGUCAUGUCGGUAACUGUCAGUCAUGUCGGUAACUGUCAGUUGUGUGUAACUGUCAGUCAUGUGGGUAACUGUCAGUCGUGGGUAACUGUCAGUCAUGUGGGUAACUGUCAGCCGUGGGUAACUGUCAGUCAUGUGGGUAACUGUCAGUCAUGUGGGUAACUGUCAGUCAUGUCGGUAACUGUCAGUCAUGUGGGUAACUGUCAGUCAUGUCGGUAACUGUCAGUCAUGUGGGUAACUGUCAGUCAUGUGGGUAACUGCCAGUCAUGUCGGUAACUGUCAGUCAUGUGGGUAACUGUCAGUAAUGUGGGUAACUGUCAGUCAUGUGGGUAACUGUCAGUCAUGUGGGUAACUGUCAGUUGUGGGUAACUGUCAGUCAUGUCGGUAACUGUCAGUAAUGUGGGUAACUGUCAGUUGUGGUAACUGUCAGUCAUGUGGGUAACUGUCAGUCAUGUGGGUAACUGUCAGUCAUGUCAGUAACUGUCAGUCAUGUCGGUAACUGUCAGUUGUGUGUAACUGUCAGUCAUGUGGGUAACUGUCAGUCGUGGGUAACUGUCAGUCAUGUGGGUAACUGUCAGCCGUGGGUAACUGUCAGUCAUGUGGGUAACUGUCAGUCAUGUGGGUAACUGUCAGUCAUGUCGGUAACUGUCAGUCAUGUGGGUAACUGUCAGUCAUGUCGGUAACUGUCAGUCAUGUGGGUAACUGUCAGUCAUGUGGGUAACUGUCAGUCAUGUGGGUAACUGCCAGUCAUGUCGGUAACUGUCAGUAAUGUGGGUAACUGUCAGUAAUGUGGGUAACUGUCAGUCAUGUGGGUAACUGUCAGUAAUGUGGGUAACUGUCCGUAAUGUGGGUAACUGCCCGUCAUGUGGGUAACUGUCAGUCAUGUGGGUAACUGUCAGUCAUGUCGGUAACUGUCAGUAAUGUGUUCUGUUGUUCUUAUUUCAAAUGUUUGUUGUUUAGUCUUUGAGCCAUUCUUGUGUAUUGAUGUUCUUCUGUAUUUUGUCAUGUUUCAUGUUUGUGUGGACCCCAGGAAGAGUAGCUGCUGCUUCAGCAACAGCUAAUGGGGAUCUGAAUAAAAUACAAAAAAUA